rnacentral:rRNA from 1 species
UACGUAGGGUGCAAGCGUUUAAUCGGAAUUACUGGGCGUAAAGCGUGCGCAGGCGGCUAUGCAAGACAGAUGUGAAAUCCCCGGGCUUAACCUGGGAAUGGCAUUUGGGACUGCAAGGCUUGAGUGCGGCAGAGGAGACUGGAAUUCCCGGUGUAGCAGUGAAAUGCGUAGAUAUCGGGAGGAAUACCGAUGGCGAAGGCAGGUCUCUGGAACGGUACUGACGCUGAGACGCGAAAGCGUGGGGAGCGAACGAG